rnacentral:hammerhead_ribozyme from 1 species
AUCCAGAUGACGAGUCCCAAAUAGGACAAAAUGCACAUUAAGCUGGAU